GCGCCCGUAGCUCAGCUGGAUAGAGCGUUGGCCUCCGGAGCCAAAGGUCAGAGGUUCGAAUCCUCUCGGGCGCGCCG
rnacentral:tRNA from 1 species